rnacentral:rRNA from 1 species
GUUUAUCAAAAACAUGUCUUUUAGAAAUAUAUUAAAAGUCUAAUCUGCCCACUGAAUUUUAAAUGGCCGCAGUAUUUUAACUGUGCAAAGGUAGCAUAAUCAUUAGUCUUUUAAUUGGAGGCUGGAAUGAAUGAUUGAAUGAGAUAUAAACUGUUUCAUAAAAAUUUAUAGUAUAAUUUUAUUUUUUAGUUAAAAAGCUAAAAUUUAAUUAAAAGACGAGAAGACCCUAUAAAUCUUUAUAUUUUAUUGGGGUGAUAUUAAAAUUUAAUUAACUUUUAAUAAAUUAUGUACAUUAAUUUAUGUUUUUUUGAUCCAUAAUUAAUGAUUAAAAAAUUAAGUUACUUUAGGGAUAACAGCGUAAUUUUUUUUGAUAGUUCAUAUUGA